UGCUGCUUGCAGUGGAAAGGGCAAGCUCUGUGAUUAUGAACUCCUUUUCUGCUUCUCCAUAACCAGGAAUAGUGGAGAUUAUUCAUGUUCUCCAUGUUUCUGUUGCCAGUUCUAAAUGUGCAUUCACAGCUCUGCCUUUUACUCCUAACCACCUGCACCUGCAGGUUUCCCAGACAAUUGUUCUUUGGCUACGGAAGCAGAAUUGGAAUUCACAAAUCCUCAGUGCUCCCACUUUCAUCCAGCUGCUGCAAGUAGACAUAGUUUCAGAUCCCUUGCCUCCAGGAAGGACAUUGUGUGAGGGAGAUUUUACCCACAGGAUCAAGUCCUGGCUUGCACUUCACUUGAAAUCAUACCUUUGCUCAGCUUUUCCUGUUCACACAUCCUGCUUUUCCUGUGUCCUUUCCAGUUUCCCCUCAAUAAACCACUUUCACCCAAAUCCUCUCACAUCAGAGUUUGAACUCUGGAAACCCAACCUAGGAUGCCGGGUCAAACCCACUUCUGGAAGUCACCAGGCCUGAGAAGCACCAUCAUCUUGGCACAACCAACUUUCACAUCUCAUAAGAGUAGAAGCAAAGACUUUUUUCCAGAAGAAAAGAAGACGCAAGUUUCAUACACUGUUCCAUCUUGCAUUGUUCCUGCUGCUCACAGUGCGUGUGUGAUGUCUUGUCCCCAAGGACGUGUGGUGAUUAUCCAACAUGGUAGGUGUAAUUUAUCAGCUCCCCCCCACCAAGUAUUUGAAGAAACAAUUCUACCCACAGUCCAAUAAAAUCCCUUUUCAUCACCGAGGAUGUAUCUAUGGCACCAGUGACUGACCAAGCACAGGUGGUAUUUGCUAGGACUUAGAAAU
rnacentral:lncRNA from 1 species